AAUGGGCGCAAGCCUGAUGCAGCAACGCCGCGUGAAGGAUGAAGGCCUUUGGGUCGUAAACUUCUGUCCUUGGGGACGAAACAAAUGACGGUACCCUUGGAGGAAGCCCCGGCUAACUACGUGCCAGCAGCCGCGGUAAUACGUAGGGGGCGAGCGUUAUCCGGAAUUAUUGGGCGUAAAGAGUGCGUAGGUGGUUUUUUAAGCGCGGGGUGAAAGGCAAAGGCUCAACCAUUGUAAGCCCUGCGAACUGGGAGACUUGAGUGCAGGAGAGGAAAGCGGAAUUCCUAGUGUAGCGGUGAAAUGCGUAGAUAUUAGGAGGAACACCAGUGGCGAAGGCGGCUUUCUGGACUGUAACUGACACUGAGGCACGAAAGCGUGGGGAGCAAA
rnacentral:rRNA from 1 species